rnacentral:sRNA from 1 species
AUCUGUUGAGGACAAAUAAAAUGAAUAUGGCUGUCAAAACCACCAGCGGUUACUAUGUGACCCUCACCCGCUAUCGCUUCUGUUGAUGGGCCAAUAAUAAUGUCCACGGCUUCCUGAGUAUCAGGAUUUCCUGCUUUCCCAAUAGCAUGAAUUAAUCCAUCUUUUAAACCGAUAUCCGCUUUAUAAAUACCGGUAAUGUCUACAAUUAGUGCAUUGGUGAUAACUGUAUCUACAGCGCCAUCUUCUCGCGACACCUGUGAUUGUCCCAUCCCAUCACG